ACCUACGGGGCGCAGCAGUGGGGAAUAUUGCACAAUGGGGGGAACCCUGAUGCAGCGACGCCGCGUGGGUGAGGAAGUACUUCGGUAUGUAAAGCCCUAUCAGCAGGGAAGAAAAUGACGGUACCUGACUAAGAAGCCCCGGCUAACUACGUGCCAGCAGCCGCGGUAAUACGUAGGGGGCAAGCGUUAUCCGGAUUUACUGGGUGUAAAGGGAGCGUAGACGGCGUGCCAAGUCUGGUGUGAAAGGCCGGGGCUCAACCCCGGGCCUGCAUGGUACAUGGGCAUCCUG
rnacentral:rRNA from 1 species